UUCAGUCAUAAUGGGGGGAGUCAAUGACUCUUUGUCAGUCACAAGUCAUUAUAUUGACUCAUUAAUAGGCUUGAUAUUGCGGUGCUAGAGGGUUGACCCAGUCUUCAGCACUUUGAUUAGAAUGGAAAAAUAAAUCCACAUGAUUGAAUUUCCAUUUGAAAACCGACGUGACUCCCUUCAUUCCCAAUAACAACUCCUUAAACUCCUCGCAUACACUCAAAAUUCAUCCUUCAAUCAUAAAAGUAUCAAAGUUCAUUCAAUCUCCCAAAUUAAAGAUUUUAAAAAACUAGGGCAAGUAAUCUCUAAAGCAUAUUUUUUCAAGGAAUCCAAGAAACUAAAUCAAGUAAGUUUGUUCUUUAACAUAUUACUAUCAGAAGUUGGUACUUUUUGUGGAGAAAAAUUCCUUCAAUUCAAUGAUUAAAUUAGGUUCAUAAAGAAAAUAUUGACCCUAUUCUUUAGAAACAUGUAGUAAAAUUUAUAAAAGGGGAGUACAGUAAAUUUUGUGCUUAAUAUUAUUUGUGGGGAUGAUUUAAGAGUUGAUAAACUUGUUUAAACCAUGGGGAAGUCUGAGUACCUAUUGGAAAUGUAAGAGUAUAGACCAACUCCUUUAAACAUAUUUAUUAUCAUAGCUACAAGAAUCAUAAUGACUCGUCAGGUCACCUAAUAAGUAAUUAUGUGACUCGUAACAACUGGUAUCAUAGGUAUAAAGAGGAGUGUAAGUUCUAUCAACAUAAUGACAUGCGAUAAGUUGUUAUCACACUAUACGAGUCAUGGUAAGGAGUUGUGAUCACUGGAAAGCAACAAGCACCAAGGAAUACUUACUGGUCAGGUAACGAGUAUUGGUGGUGAGUCAUUGUCUAACAUAAUGACUCAUAAGGAGGACCUAUUAUUUGACUAGUUAACAAUUUUACAAAGACCUUUGACCCUAUGAGUUUUAUAACAACACAUUACCAGAGGUAAUGAGUUGUAUACUAACUCAUAAAGUACCCAAACACUGCAACACUCAUGAUAUUUUUCUUGUUUUUCAUUCAUUCCUUAGGAUGUAAUAAUGUUUAUGCUUCUUUUAGGUACCAAUAGAACCAAAGAAUGAUGACAUAAAGAAGUAAACUCCCAGGAAGCAGGCCCCCACCUCCACUCAUCAUCUUAGAAAUGAACCCACUAAUAAUAAAGAAUCAAGUGGGCCAGUGGAUGAAUAUACUAUUAGAGGAGUAGUGGAGCCAAGGGAGAAAUUACCCAAACAUGAUAAAGCUGCUCUAGAGGAGGACACACCACCUUGGUCCAGGCCAAGAAUGAAAAAUCCUAUCCAAUUACUACCACACUCAUCCUCCCACCCUGCAAGACUAAAGAGGAUAGAGAAGAUGAUGAAGAUGAUGAGUCUAUCCCUAAUGAGAAAAAUAAGUAGAAAGACAAUGAGUCAAAGAAUAUGGGGUCUAAAAAGGAAGAGGAGAGUUAGAGUAGGUCAAGUGACACCCUUGUAGAGAUAGCACCUCCUCCUCUACUUGUUGCACUACUAUUGAUAGAUUCUUCCCCAAUGACCAUCAUUGAACAAUGAGGGUACCUCGAGAUAUAGGACUUUUAUAAUAAAUACAGUGCCCUUAGUCCAUCCAAAAGAAAACCAAAGAGAGGGAUUAAUUUAGAGCAAACUUUUAGCACUAUAGGCAUGUCUAAGCUGCCUGAAUUCAAUUCCUAGUUCAAAUAGUACCACUUUGAGUAGAUCAGCACGACUACUAGACUGUACAGCCCUGCAUUAGUAUGAGAGUUCUAUGUAGAAUAUCUGAUGGAUCUUAAGAGGUGGUAUCUACAAGGGCAUUCAUUGAAGGGUGGUGACCCCUUGGUCACAUUGAUGAUUAAAAGUGUUUGGGUAAACAUCUCUAUGUAGAACAUUUCCAAAUUUCUACAUAGGCCAGAGUUUCAGUUAUUAGCCAACACAACUAAGAUUGACUACCGCAUGGAAUAGAUGCGAAAUAUAAAAGUAAAAUAGAUAUAUUCAUAGGACAAGCUUUCUUACUUCCAAUGGAUGGCCAAAAUUAUUACUGUAGAGUAAGAUAAGGCUCCUUGGGUGGCUGGAGGUGUUGUAUCUUCAUCCUAGAUUAGAAGGUUAGUUUGAGAUUUAUAGCGAAGGCUUUGUAGAUGCUUGUGCGUCAUAGGUUGAGUGAACAUACAAGGAUAAUGUAUUGAUUCUGGACCGAGUAGCCUUAAUUGUGGGCAUUAUAGAGGGCUAAGAGUUUGAUGUGGCCAAGUGGAUAGCAAGAGAGAUCUAUAAUUGGGUGGUGAGCAUUGACACAGUGCUAAUAUUCCAUGCUUUCUGAUAUAAAUAUGUUUUGGUGAGGUAGUGAUAGAGAGUCCAAGAGUUGAUAAGUUUAUUUAGCCACAUAGUACUACAGAUUUAGGCCUAAUUUAAGAUGUUUCUAACUCCAUCUCCAAGGUAGCUAAGGUGGGGGCCACUCAAUUAUGUGAGGCACUCCAGGCUAAAGGGCAUAAAAUUGAUAUGUUGGGGUUCACUGAUAUUGUUGAAACCCCCACUGAAACUGCCCAGUCCUAGCCUUAAGCCUCAAAUACAACAGGAACCUCCUAGACUCUGAGCCCACCUCCUACAGUAAAAUUGUUCACAUCUAGGACAGCCUCGGCUGGCUUUGAUUUAGUCCCACAAGAAUUCUUUACUGAGGUGAUGAAAAGGCUGGACACAGUUGAAAAAAAAGUUAAGAAAAUAGAAGAAGCGGUCCGGCCAUGGGUAAAGAGAUAUAUCCAUAUGGAUAUAUAAGGCAUGUAGACCCGAGUUUAACGGGUUUGAGAGGGUGAUCAUCUAGAAGUAGGUAGAUAUUCAGUCCCUAAAUUGGUAGGGAUACAUGAGGAGUUGGCCAUACUCUGGGAUUUUAUUGGGUAUAUGUAUGCUAGACCUCUCUUCUCAGUACUAAUUAUUAAAGAGAUCAUUAAGGAAAGGGUGUCUGAUAUAUAGAAAGUUAGUAGGUUGAACACUGUUGCUAGUGAUAAUAGUGCUAAUCGGCCGAGAAAUAAUAAUAAGAGAAGUAAUAGGAAUGAGAAGAGAGAGUUUGAGGCUACCAAGGCAGCUAGUUUUCAGGAUGAGCAACACAGUCAGACGAAGGUUCAUAAGAUGGCGAUGGGAGCUGGUAGCUCCUGAGUUGCUGAUGAGAUGACCAUAGAUGCAAUUAAGUUGAUUGGCAGCACUGCUCCCAACCCAUAUGUACCAUCAAGCACACCAUCCACUGCUAGUGCCACAGUUAAUAUGAGCAUCUCGAACAUUACCCAUACCACUGCUGAUGAGAGUGGUGCCCAUUAUGAGGCCCCCUACACUAACACUACAUGAUUUGGUGCUUUGAGUGACCAAGUAUUUCUUCGUCCCUUGUUUUUACAUUAUAGCUGCGUUGGGAUAGUGAAUAAUAUCUUAGUUAGGGUGCGGUUGUACGAUGCCACUGUAGGUUUUUGUUGGAGUGCUUCUUUUUCUUUCGAUUGUAGUAUGGUUGUAGAACUGACAUGUCUAGAAUAAAUUUAUUUAGUAUUGUGUUUUAUAUUUUUUGUUGUGUUUUUUUUUGUCAUUUUAUGUUUUUGUUUAACUAGGAAAAGUAAGUACCUAAGGUAGUUGAUUUGUUCUAUCUGAUUGCACUUUAAUUGAGAUACCCCUCCAAAAUUAUUUAAAAAAAUGUGUGAUAAAGAUAUGUGCAGCCAGUCUAAAACUCGUUAUGGCAAUAGAAUUAGGAACAUGAUAAUCAUAGCCAACAAUUGCAUGAACCGAUUAGGUAGUAGCUUGUGAUGCAACCCUAUGCUUUGUGUGUGAGAUACUACUUUGUUCCCUUUGUGUGUUGAAUAAAGAACUUGCCCAGUUAAUCCUCCUUAGGUUGUAGGACUAUAACACCCAGUGUUUUUAGGCUAGAAUUUGAACAAUCAUUCCUACUAGUGUAAUCUCUAAUCCCGUGAUUUGAUUUUUAAUACAUGUGUCAUGAUAAUUAUCCUAGUGUGUGAAGUAGGAUCAAGGUGGAAAAUAUUCAUAGGAAUCACUUAAAGCAGAGUUGAGCUAAGAGCCUUUGAUUCGUCCAAAUUUUGGUAUUCAAUUCUAUAAGGGUCAAAUUUGAAUGUUUAUAAACUUUUAUUUAUGCAGAAUUGUUUAUAGCCAGUGUUAGUAUCUGUGGCCUGGUACUGACACCCCUCCAACUAGCGUUAUAGUUUACACCUUGAUUUGCUUAUAUUGGGUCAUGUCGGUUACAUGAUACCUCCCACAAUUUCAGUCUAGUUAUUCAGACUAAGUAUAGUUCAGUUUUACAAGAUGUGUAUUCAGAUAUCAGUUAAUCAGUAUGUGGUUAUCAGCUAAUCUGUAUAGAGGUACUAGGUAAUCAAUAUUCAAAUAUUACUAAAUCAGUAUCCAGAUGUCAGUUACUCAGUAUUCAGUUUUUAGUUAUUCAGUAUUUAGAUAUCAGUUAGUUGGUAUUCAUAUAUCAACUACUUAGUAUACGAACAUUAGUUAUCCAUUUACUUAGAUUUCUGUCGUUCAGUCACACAGGCAUCAACCAUUAAGUUAAUCUUACUUUGUACCGGUUAUGUUUGGAUUGUAUGCUUAUUUAGUAUUGCUCAGUAAAUUUGUAUAUUUAGAUCCUUGAGUUUUGUCAUUUUCCACCGCAUAGUUUCUAACCCAGUAUUUAUACAUCAUCCUCAGUACAGUUUUUACAACAUAUUCAGCCUUGCCAGAGAUUUACAUACAAAAUUCAUGUUUCUACUACUUUCUAGCUUACAGAAUUGUCUUCACCUUAUGAUUUAUAAAUUUUACUGUGAUUUACAAUUCUCACGCACAGCCAUGUUGUAAAUGUAUGUUUCAGCAAAUAACUUAUAUCCUCAAUUUAAAAGUAUAUGUUCAAUAUUCCCAUGAUUUAGUGCUUGUCUCUAUAUACUCAGUACAUUCCAAAGUACUUAUCCACAUAUACGUCUAUGUGAUACAUUGUCUUAUAAUGUAGGUACCAGUUGUAGCCUACACAUCAUAAUCAGACAGUUUGUAAUUUCCAGCCAACAGGUGAAGAGUUCUCUUGUUUUAUGGACUCCAAUUAGUUUUCGUUCAUGUUUAUCUUAUUACUAUUCAAAUGUAUUUAUUAGUGGUGGUUGGAGGUAUGUCCUAGCUAUUUAU
rnacentral:lncRNA from 1 species